rnacentral:lncRNA from 1 species
GUGUGCAUAUUUCAACUCAAUCCGCGUGUGAGCCUGUGCAGGGUUUUGGAAAAUGCAAAGCAAGCUUGUAAGCUUUAAAGAUUCACAAAACAAAAUAAAAGAAAUAACACACUAAGGAGUUCCCUUUUUCUAGCCAUAACCUGGAUGCUUCAUGUUGCACCACUUUUAUAAGAAGGUAAAUUAAAAAUGCAAUGUGUGGGUGGCUGUUGCCCC